CAGUCGCCGCGGGAAUACGAAGGGUGCAAGCGUUAAUCGGAAUUACUGGGCGUAAAGCGUGCGUAGGCGGUUUGUUAAGUCUGCUGUGAAAUCCCCGGGCUCAACCUGGGAAUGGCAGUGGAUACUGGCAAGCUAGAGUGUGUCAGAGGAUGGUGGAAUUCCCGGUGUAGCGGUGAAAUGCGUAGAGAUCUGGAGGAAUACCGAUGGCGAAGGCAGCCAUCUGGCCUAAUACUGACGCUGAGGUACGAAAGCAUGGGGAGCAAACAGGAUUAGAUACCCCAGUAGUCCCUGUCUCUUAUAA
rnacentral:rRNA from 1 species